CUCCACUGUACAACUAUACUACACUGUCUCCACUGUGCUACAACCCUGAAAACAUGCUGGGAUGUGCGAAAGGAUUUGUACAUCGUGCCAAGCCUGAGGUUCAGCCAGUUCAGCAGAAACUGAGGCGCUUACUUUUCUCAGCCCGCGAUGAGGUGCCCAAGGAACUACAGAAGCUCGUACAACAGGAUGUAAUCGAGCAUUUGGAUACAUCUUUUGGAUGCAAAAGAAGACUUUUAUUUUGACAUAGCAGUAACGCAGGCCGGUGCUUCUUAUUUCCGCUGUGUGUAUGCACGCUUUGUGAAGAACAUGGACUGCAUUUGUGUGAUGUUUUUUUUCUUGUUCACCGUACAUCAUGCAUCUCACUGAGAGGGUUAAAAGCUGUGUAUAUUAUAACUGAAAUGCACAGCUACAGUUCUUUCACUUUCAAGAUUCGCGAUCACACGUCCUAUCAGUCAUCUCUCCUUACUCUGUUUAUGUGGACAUGGACCCAGCGGAUAUUCACGCCAAGAGGAUAAAGAUGGGAGUCUUAACUGUUGUUGAUGAUGUUGCCACCAUCCACUCAUACCCAAAUAUAAGACUAAUGCAUCAGACAGUGAGCUGGGGGCCAUUUUGUCCCAGGUGGUGGAGGGGGAGGAGCACUCCGUGCUGUACAUCAGCCGGAAGCUGUCAAUUGAGAAUCGCAUCUUCAUUUUAAACACUGAGGAUCUGAGUGGAAAAGUGACAAGAAUACUUCAGAGGCACCAAUCACCUCCUGUUCCAAAGAGCCUAAGCCUAAGCGAGGUCUGUAAAAUUGUUUUGAAUGUUGGAAAAGGUAAUAAUCUGUUUUUCUUGUCUUUGUUGAAAGUAUAAUUACACAGGAUUGUUUUGUGGAGUUUAGGUUACAAAAGCCUAGAAACUGUAGUUAGGUUUUGAUGACAAACUGUUUUUGGUAAUGACUUGCAGCAAAAAUGUCCUUUCUGCUCAUUAUUUUUCUCUUUAGAUAUCAUAUCUUUUUGAGCAAAUCAUUAUUUAGCUUAUUUAUAAUUCUGAACAAAGAAACAAAUGCAUAGAAACAUUCAAACAUUCCAGUAUUAAAAAUCAGCUGCUAAAUAUCUAAUUCCAUCCCAAGUCUAUGACUGUGUUUGUCUGAAACAGUGUCAAGCCACAUUCCAAUAUGAUGGCAGCAGGACGAAGAAGGGUCAUAAGAUUCACACCCUUGCAGUAUUUAUAUCUUUUUGCAGCAAUAGAUGUGUUUUGAUCAAUUUAGGUAUGAAUGAAGUAUGGCUUGAAGUAUGUUUAGAUCUUGUAUCUGCUAUCAUCUCUGGCAGCAUCUUCAUUCUCUUAAAUAAUGAGACAUGGAGGCAAACAGAAAACUCCAAUUUCACAUACAAUUGGGUACAGCUGUGUAGAAUAUUGACCAGCUUUUCAUGUCAUUACUUAAUUCUAAAAAUUACAUGUAGACUGUUGGAGAAGGAGGGGGAACCAUGUACACAGCAUCUACUAGCAGCCAACUCUAUCAGGUAACUUUCAGACUUAAAGACUUACUUUUAGAUUUUGACAACAUACUGUUUCCCUUGUUAUCUAAACAUCGGGUACCCAUACCAGGCUACAUUUUUCCAGUCUUCAACUGUCCAGUUUUGGUGAGCCUGUGCCCACUGCAGCCUCAGUUUUCUGUUCUUGGCUGACAGAAGUGGAACCAGACAUGGUCUUCUGCUGUUGUAGCCCAUCUGCCUCAAGGUUCGACAUGUUGUGCAUUCUAAGAUGCUUUUCUGCUUGCCACAAUUGUACAUACCAUCUGAGUUAUCCGAGUUACUGUAGCCUUUCUGUCAGCUCGAACCAGUCUGGCUGUUCUCCUUUGACCUCGCUCAUCAAGAAGGCAUUGCCAUCUCCAGAACUGCUGCUCACUGGAUGUUUUUUUUUCUUUAUUCCACCAUUCUGAGUAAACUCUAGAGACUGUUAUGCAUGAAAAUCCCAGGAGAUCAGCAGUUAUAGAAAUACUCAAACCAGCCCAUUUGGCACCAACAAUCAUGCCAUGGUCAAAGUCACUGAGAUAAUUUUUUUUUCCCCUAUUCUGAUGGUUGAUGUGAACAUUACAUUAUUAUUAUUAGGGGGCCAACCACCGAAGGUGCAUAGGCACCCUAUCGUUAUUCUAUGUUUUCUUCUUCUUCUUCUUCUUCUUCUGGCUAGGAAGUCUAUGGGAACCUAUAGAACUGUCUGGUAAAAAAAAUUUGAAAUUUGGCACACUGAUUAGGGAGGGUCUACGGAACAUUCUGAGCAAAUUUGGGCCAAGUGUUGCUGACGCUGUAGCGCCACCAUCGGGUCAAAUUUGGGCCUAAUUUGGAAGUACAUUUAUGCUAAUAACUUUUGAACUAUGUGUCCAAAAUUUAAUCCCUGAAUUCCCUGGUUUGAGGCGAGUUCAAUGCACCCUAUGAAGUCGAUUUCCGCCCAAUUAGAUUUUCCGCCAUCUUGGAUUUUGUCCAAAAAAGUUUUUUCAUUACUCCUCUUACAAAUUUUGUCUAAUCAUCACCAAAUUUGGCAUGCAUCAUCUUCAGAGUAAUCCUGACAAAAAUUAACAAAAGAAUUUUGAAUAUUCCAAAGGGUUUGCCCAUAAUGGGCCAACAAAUCUGAUGGCGAAGCUGCCAAACAGGAAGUGAGGCUGUAUCUCAGCAACGACUUUGCGCACUGACACAAAACUUGGUAGAUAUCUUCAGAAACUUGACCUGAGGCUAUGCAACAAAUUUCGUGGUAGCACCACCUACUAGCAACUAUUAACAUGCCAUAAAUACUUACAUCUAACUGCCAUGUUUGCUGCUACUCCUCGAAUUUUGUCCAAUCUUCACCACAUUUGGCUCACAUCAUCUCGACACCUGUCUAAACAAUGCUGCAUGCAAUGACACGCUGCUGCCCGUUUGGUCAUCUAGACCUUUCCUCCUACAGUCAGAGAAUUCCACCACUGUCCAUGGUCAAAACAUACACAUCAUGAGUGACACUACAAAUCAGUCUUGAAUCCCUUUGCCUAAAGUUAUGGCUCUGCUUUUCUGUGAUUGCUUAGGCAACAGUUGUAGCAUGUCUGUGAAUGUGUGGUUCACCAAGUCUGGGUGCUUGGCCCCCGAAAAUGCUUCUUGUAGCUUCAUUAUUAUUAUUAUUAUUAUUAUUGUUAGUAGUAGUAGUAGUAGUAUUGUUAAAUUUAAAAGGUACAUUUUUGAUAGAUUUAUGAAAAUUUGAGGAAUAAAGGUGUUGAAAAUAAUUGAGUAACAAAGGUUUGCCUACAAAGGCCCAACAUGUUGUCCAUCUGGGCCUCAUCAUUUAGCCCAUGUGAGUUCUACACUGCUUGGCUAAAGGAUAAAGAUGAGGAUAUAGCAGGUGCUUUUCUUAGUUUCUUCUGUCAUCUUGUUAUUCAUUAUUCAUACUCAAGUUUCCAAUUGAAACAUUUGAAACAGAGCAUACAGAUACAUGAGAUGGGAUUCAAAGGACAUUUCUGCCUGGAAAUAAAUGCAGUGGAAGGCUAAGGUUAUAAAUGUGUGCAGUGCCCUUCCUCGUGCAGAAAUGAUGUAGGAAUCUGAUCAUAAGUAUUCACUGGGGGUGCACUGAUAAUGCCAGGUGUAAAAGGCUAUGCAUUUCACUGUCCACUUGUGAUCAGAUCACUCGACCAGGGAUGUAAGCCAAGCUUUUCCAAUAGGGUGGCCAGGUUAGACCCAGUGACUCUAUUUGGGUGGCAAAGCAUUAAUCUGCAUCUAUAGAAAAUGAUGAAUGUGACAAUACACUACUACGAAGACCACCACACUAUCAGUACCAAAAAUUACACUGCACACCUGAACACAGUCACCGCUUCUUCUUUAGAAAUAGCCCAGAUUUUCAUUAGAACAUUGCUCUUAGUUAUUCUAGUUUCAUUAGAAGAUUCUAGUUUUAUUAAAACAUCGCUCCUAGUCUGUUUAGUGAUGAUUCGAAGCCUGUUUGUUUGAUUGCAUUUCUGGAUUACAAUCUGUUUGUUUGAUACUUUUGAUUCCUGUCUUCCCUACAUUACUCUGUUGCCAAUAUGUUGCCUGAUAUUUAUUUAUUAUUUUUUUUUGUACUUUUUAUUUAUCCUUCUGGUCUGUUUGCUCUGGAUAGUGUGGAGGUAUUCAAAGACUUUUAUUUUGAAGGGGUUUUUUUCUUUGGAAAAAAGCUGAGACCGGAAGUGAUGUGAGCAUGGCGGGAGUGAAAAACGGGGGUGAUAGAAAAAAUACAAACUCGAGGUGCGAGCGCUCGAUGAGCAGAGAGUGCCAGAGAGGCAAAGAGUAAAAGAAAUAAACCCCACUUCUCGUGAUUCUUUUGCUUUUACGUGGACAGCAUUUGGCGAGUAUCGAGGUGAGCUGACGAGGAGCUGGACCGAGCUUGUGCUGUUGCGAGUCUUAUCACAGGAGUGUGAUUGCUGUGGAGCCGAGUUGUGUGCCUAUGUGAUACGAGAGGGGCGUCGCCCAUUGCAUUUGCUGAGAUGGUGUUUGCGUGAGAGUUUGUCUCCGUCUGAGAAAGCUGAGGUACUGUGAAUUUUAUUCAUUUUUGUUCAACUACAGUUGACAUCCGGAAGAAAUACACAGACAGUAUUUUUGUUGUUCUUAAAACGAAGCUGAUUUCUGAACGAGUGACCUCUGCUGCUAUUGUUGCGAGAAAAAUCUUCACAUGCCAUUUCGACACGUUACUGCCGCUGUGUAGAUGCGAACGGCAUUGCAGACUCUUUGAUGCUCUUUUGACAGUACUAAUUUUCCUGUUUUGAGUGUUAAACCAUUGCUCUGGAACUUAGUAUUAUUUUCUCUAUUUCAUAGUUGAAUUUUUUGGAUGUUCUACAGUGUUUUCGUCUCAACCUUUGGAAAUUUUUUAUAUAUUUUUUUUUGAUGGACACUUGAAUAGACUUUCUGAAAUGGGAACAGAGCUUGCUUUUGAACAAAACUGCCUCUGUUUUUUUGGUGUGUUGAAAGAUUUUCCUGUCUACCGGAAGCAUUCGCAUGGACAGUGAUUUUGCUGAUUUUCUCUGAACUGUUCUUUCUUGUUUUUUUUCUAAAAGGAAAAGACUUGAUAUCAACAGGUUUCCCAUUGGAUUAACUGAUUACCCUGCCAUAUAAGGACGCUCCAACACCGGCCCAGUUCUGCGGUGAGGUAAAAGUCUAAUAUUGGGUUAUGACUCUUACUCAGGUAUGUUGAUUGUCAUAUAAAAAGUCUGCGAAGUGAGAGUAGUAAAAAUUUACUACGAACUGAGGAAGACUUUUAGGUUUAACUGAAUAUCACCUUUUGAGGGAACUGUUUCCUUGAUUCUGAUUGUUGUGGGGAUUACAGCAGUAAACAAAGAGACUCUAAAUGCACUUUUGAGUUAAGUAAAAAUUUUGUACAUUUCCAUUGGCCUAUUCACAAGUGAAAACUUUUGUGUUUCUUUAUUUUCUGUUAUUCUUGUGUUUUCUUUGUGUUUACCAAACACUGUAAAAAUAAACCCAAACUUCUGUUAUCUUGGAGUAGGGGCAUUCCUCCUGUCUUGUGGGCUGAUAGAGGGGAAGAAGGGUUAAUAUUACUUCUUACUCUGGGAGCUACCGUGUACGUUACUAAAUUCCAGAGCCUCAAUCCUCAUCAGUCACCGCUACAAAAGACAAAGGUGUACUUAGCAAGGCAGAUAAAAACAUACUUAAAUAAAUAAGUACAGGAAUUAAAUGUACUAGGGGUUGAAGACCUAGAUCUUGUCAUUUCCCUAGUCGUCCAAGAUACAUUGCAGAACAUAAUCUUACUCCUACGUUGUAGUGAAAUUUCCCACUACAAUAGUAAUAAAAUUCAUCUGCAUCAAACUCUGUGCCUGAUUCAUGAAAACAUACGCUAUUGUUGCAGUAUACUAUCAUUUAUGAAUUCAAUAGCUUUAGCUAAUGGUAGCUAAUAACAAACUAAGAAAUCUAGUGUUAUGUCUCCAAAUAAUUUACAGUCAGGCCCAUAAGUAUUUGGACAGUGACAAUUUUCAUAAUUUUGCCUCUGUACACCACCACAAUGGAUUUGAAAUGAAGCAAUCAAGAUGUGAUUGAAGUGUAGAUUUUCAGUUUUAAUUCAAGGGGUUUAACAACUAUAUUGCAUUAACAGGAAUUACAGCCAUUUCUUUGCAGAGUCCCUCCAUUUUCACAGACUUAAAAGUAAUUGGCAAACUAACAAUCAUAUAUAGGAUUAUUUGUAAUACUUGGAUGCAAAUCCUUUGCAGUCAAUGACUGCCUGAAAUCUGGAACCCAUGGACAUCAACAAAUGAUGAAUUUCCUCCCUUGAGAUGCUUUGCCAGGCCUUUACUGCAGCUGCCUUCAGUUGCUGCUUGUUUGUGGGUCUUUCUGCCUUCUAUUUUGUCUUCAGUAAGGGAAAACAAUGCUCAGUUGGGUUUAGGUCAUCAGGCAUUUAAGAACAUUUAAUUUCUUUGCUUGUUUUGGGUCAUUAUCUGUCUGUACUGUGAAGCACUCUCCUGUCAGUUUUGCAGCAUUUGACUGAAUCUGAGCAGAAAGUAUAGCUCUAUAUGCUUCAGAAUUCACCUGCUACUUCUGUCAGCACUCACAUCAUAAACAUGUGUUUAAGGCCCAGUUCCUUUGGCAGCCAUACAUGCCUAUGCUGUAACACUUCCUCCACAUGUUUGACAGAUGAUGUGGCAUGCUUUGGAACAUGAUCCCUUCCUUUCCUUCUCCAUAAUCUUCUCUUCCCAUCAUUCUGGUACAAGUUAAUCUUGCAGCAGAACUGGUCAGGCUUUUUUUUUUUUUAAGAGGUUUUUAGCAAAGUCUAAUCUGGCCUUUCUGUUGUUGAGUGCCAGUGGUUUGCAUCUUGAGGUAAACUGUCUGUAUUUACAUUCAUGAAGGUGUCUCUUGACUGUAGACUUUGACAAAGAUAUGCAUACCUCCUCUAGAGUGUUCUUGACUUGGCUAGAUGUCGUGAAGUGGUUUUUCUUCAACAAAGAAAGAAUUUAGCAUUCAUCCACUUUAGGUGUCUUCUGUCUUCUUUUUAAGAAUGUACCAAAUUGUUGAUUUGGCCACUCCUGUCUGUAUAUCAUUAAGGUCAAAAAGUUUGGCCAGUGUACAUGGUCACCUGUACAUUGUCGUCAGUGGGCCAGGAAAUAAUUUGCUUCUGGGUUAGCUAACUAAACUUUCUUGUUCUCUCCAAUGCACAAUGAGUGAACUUUGAAAUUUGCUAGAGACAUUGUGAAUGUUGGUAUUAUUCAAAGUAGCCUACCACAGUGAGCUUUACCAAGUUGUUCAGUUUCAAAUUAUGACAUUGUUAAACCACACAUGGAUUUAGCAAAGAAUCAGAAUACUACUACUACUACUACUAAUAAUAAUAAUAAUAAUAAUAAUAAUAAUAAUUAUAGCCCUAAGCAGCAAUCUACAGGGGCCAAGCACCACAUGCAGAUCACACCAGAGGUAGCUAAUUCUCCCCAAGAUACACAGAACACUUAAAAAAAAAAAUUAGAUGAACAUACUAUCAAAAUUUGGUGAUGGUAGUUUAAUGAAAUGCUGUGAAGCGCUUGAUGACGUGGCAGCCGAGAUAUGCAGCCUCACGUUUGAGAAACGUGUGGUGGGUCCAAGAUGGUGUCCUGCUAAGUUUGUUUUUACUUUGCUCUGCUGACAAAUUUGCUUUUAACAGCCAAAUUACAUAAUUUAUACUCCUGCUACACGCGGUCUGUGUCCGUAAAUACUAUGUAGUGCCCCUCGAUGCUUUAAAGAUGAAACCUGCAGCAGACAAAAGAAAAGAAAAAGAGAUAUUGCAUGUUUCACGUGUGUUUGAUAACAUGAGUUUUCACAGCUAUGCAUCUCCCAGUGAGAUCCUCUUAAAUACUUCGCUUCCAGAGAGCCCGGGCAAACCUCCCUCAAAGAAGCGUAAAGCAGAGGACGACGCCGUGAUUUCCACCCUCUCUCAGCUGAUAAAUAAUUGCUCUGACGCCCUGGAGAAAAUGGUGGGGGACAACGCUCUUAAAAUUGAAGGUCUCAAAAAAACUGUGGACUUUGUUUGUGCUGAACUGAAUAAUAUUAAACAGAGGGUCGGCCACUUCGAAGUUAGACUUGUUACUGAGGAAAAGAAGAUGGAGCUCUGCGAAAAAAGAAUCGCUGACUUGAAUACUCUCACCGCUGGAACCUGCGUUUGCAUGGAGUACCUGAAAAAGAAAAUAUCAGAGCCGAAUCCAUCCGCAUUUGUGUGGCCACCUUUCCACAGGAGGGCAAAACUCUUCCGGAUAAGAUUGAUACUGUCCACCGCAUUGGGAAGAGAAUUUUGAACACCGCAAGGCCACGAGCAAUCAUCAUCCAGUUUUGCUCACGCGUGACGAGAGAUGGUGUGUGGAGAGCGGCGAAAUCGUCAGAGUUCUUGUGGGCAAAUGGUCUUAGGUUUACCUAGGAUCUUACUGCUUUUGACCGGGAAAUAAGGCUGCUGCUAUGGCCGGCAAAAGGCCCGCAAGGAGGGGAAAAGGGCGCACUUCGUGGGUCAUCGUGCGUUCAUCGAAGGCUCUGAAAUUAACCCUGUGAAAUUAACCCAGUCUGUUCAAACUGUUUAAACUGUUUAUCAUUUCAAGAGAGAUUUUUCAAGUUCUAGUUUCCUUUUCGUUACGAAUCAGGUCACUAUUAACGGCUGUAAACAUUCUUGACUUGGUUUCAUCAGCAGCAGUGUUCAUGUUUUCAAACUCAGAAAGCUCUGUUCAUCUUUUUUCUUCGUUAAGAGUUCUUUUUGUACGUCUAUUUCUGUUAUUUCUCUCAAUGCCAGGGGUCUUAGAGACAAUACCAAAAGGAAAGCCUUAUUCCUGUAUGCUAAUUCGUUCAAGACUGACUUUUGUUUUUUUCAAGAGUCCCACUCUGUCGCGAGUGAUACUGCUUUUUGGUAAAAUCAGUGGAACAAUGACGUUUGGAUGGCUCACGGUUCGGAACAUUCAGCUGGAGUUUUAAUUUCGAAAAACCUUUUUGCUGGGGACAUUUUGCACCAUUUUAGCGACCCAAAUGGACACUUUCUGUUUUUGGUAAUCUGUUUAAAUAAUGCUGUGAUUAAUAUCUAAUUAAUGUCUAAUUAAUAUAUAUGGGUAUAAUACUUCUUGUGAAAAUGACUUACUGCUUGAAGCAAUUGAAGAAAAAAAUUAUACUAAGGCUUAAUGCAUACCCAAAUGCUUUAAUUUUCACUGGUGGCGACUUUAAUAUUGUGCCUGAUAAUAUUCUUGAUUUAUGGAUAAAUUUGAUAUUAUCGAUAUUUGAAGGGUGAAAUUCCCAAAUAUUAGAUCUUAUACUUGGAGUAACAAAAGUUGUUCUAGACAGUCUCGUAUAGACUAUUGGCUGGUUUCUCUGGUUUUGCUGGUUUGUCUGUCAGAGAUUUUAAUGUUUCUGUUAGAAUUCUACCUUCCCCCAUGACUGACCAUAAGGCGAUUCUUAUUCAGUCCCCUCUAUCUUCUGUUUUCUCUCCUUCAAUAUCUAGAGCCUCUUACUGGAAGCUUAACUCUUCUUUGCUUAAGCAUGAUCAGCUGAGAAAAAACAUCUUAUUUUUGAUUGAAUAUUACUGGAUCAGAGCACAAAAAGAAGACAAAUAUGGCCCUAACUGGGAGCUUCUUAAACACGAAGUUAGCAAAUGUGCUAGACAUUUUGGUAGUAAUCUAAUGAAACUCAAAAGACAUGAAGAGGAGACUAUCGUCUCUAAAAUAUUGUCCCUCUUUAGUAAAAUGCAGGAUGGAUUGUUCAGAUUCAGAGCUAACAGAAUUUGCUGAUAUGCAAACUCAGUUGGAUUCAAUCUACAAGUAUAAGGCAGAGGGCUCUUUUAUUCACUCUAGAAGAAGAUGGUUAGAGCAAGGUGAGCAAAGUACAGCAUACUUCUUUAGAAUGGAAAAGGAUAUUUCUAGAAAUUUAGCAAUCAAUUCUUUAAAUAUUAAGGGUACCGUUACUUCUGACUCUAAAGUAAUCAGCUCAUUUUGUGCAAAUUUCUGUUCUAAUCUUUACAAGUCUAAUUAUUGCAAGAAUUCAGCUUUGUCUUUUUUUCAGUCUUUGAAAGAUAUUAGAUCAUUAUCUAAUGAAGAUAAGAUCACCUGCGAUAGGGAUAUAUCCAUUGAUGAAAUAAUUGAGUCUAUUGAAGCACUUAAAAGCAAUAAGUCGCCAGGCACAGAUGGGCUAACUGCCAAAUUUUACAAAAGUUUUGCUCAAGAUUUAGCACCUUUCUUAUUUAAGACUUAUUUGGAGAGUGUUGCUUUUGAAUCACUUCCACCUACUUUAUCACAGGGGUUAAUUACUUUAAUACCUAAACCUAGAAAAGAUACUCUUUUGAUUGAUAACUGGCGUCCAAUUUGUCUCUUAAAUUGUGAUUAUAACAUAUUAGCUCUGUUACUGGCUAAAAGACUUAAACGUGUUCUGGGUACAAUAAUAGAUAAAACCCAAUCAGGCUUUAUUCCAAAGAGACAUAUUGCUAACAAUAUACGCCUUGUUUUAGAUUUAUUAGAUUAUGAUGAUUUGAUUAGUGAAGAAAGGUUUGGUUUUUUUUUUUUUAAGAUUUUUAUAAAGCCUUUGAUUCACUUGAACAUGAUUUUAUUUUACAAUCCCUCUAUAAGUUUUGUUUUGGUGAUUUCUUUUGCAAAACUGUCCAAACUUUAUACAAUAAUGGCAACUGCUCAAUUAAUCUUAAAUUUGGCACUUCUCCAAGGUUUGAUAUAUUUAGAGGGGUUUGCCAGGGUUGCCCGGUUUCACCUUAUUUGUUCUUGAUAGCUGCUCAUCUACUUACUACUUUUCUGUCUAAUAGUCAAUUGCAAGGUAUUAAUAUAGAUGAUAAACAUAUUCUUAUAAGCCAAUUAGCUGAUGACACCACACUCUUCUUAAAAAGUGAUUUACAGAUUCCUAUUGCUCUUAUUAAUAUCUUUUCUAAAGCUUCUGUUAUACGUUUGAAUUUAGAUAAAUGUGAACUUCUGCCAAUAAAAUCUUGUUCUGCCCCUUUCUUGCGCAAUAUUCCUGUUAAAUCUCAAGUAAACUAUUUAGGUGUAAUUAUUUGUAAAGAUGAUAAUGCUAGAGGAAGAUUCAACUUUGAUCCAGUAAUUACUAAAGCUAAGAAAAAGUUAAACUCCUGGCUCCAAAGAGACUUGUCUUUACGAGGUAGGGCUCUCCUCGCCAAAGCAGAGGGUAUUUCCAGAUUAAUCUAUCCAGCUCUUUGUAUGCUGAUAAAUCAGUUUGUGUAAAGGUUGAUAGAAUAUCUCUAAAUUGCCCGUCAGAUUAUCAAAUUUCCAGGUGCUUUUGGCCUGGCACUUAAUUUACAAACACAAUUUUAGUCCCCACAGGUACAUUUGGAAUAACCAAGAUAUUCGAUACAAAAAUAAAUCUCUUUUUUUUCCAGAUUGGUUUAACAAUAAUAUUCUUUUGGUUUCUCAGCUCAUAAACUCAAAUGGUUAUUUGUUUUCUUAUUCUGAAUUCCUAACUAAUUACUGUAUUCCUGUCACCCCAUGAGACUUUGCCAUAGUGAUGCUAUCCCCAGUGGAGCUAUUGCAUUUUCAAGGGCGUAGUUUUAGCAUGGACGCAAGGGACGCGUCCCCACCAAUGUUCAGCGAUUACUAAAUUGUCCCCACCAAUAAUUUUAUACCCUCCAAAAAACAGAUUCUCAUUGGGUGCAACAGGAAGGGUUAAAUUCGGUUCCUUUCUGGCGUCCUAGCAAUAGAUAUCUUCCUAUCGUUGCAAAAGUCCUUGAUAUUUUGAUUCUGUUUGGGUUAUCAGGAAAACAUGCAAUGUGAUUGGCUGUGCCUUACCUUGCUGUCACGUGACAAUACGUUUGGUUGGCAGCGCGACGAGACAGUAGCCUAGAUAUCGAAGAGAUGGCAGCCAAAAGAAAGAAGGUCGAUAUAAGGAGCUAUUUUGUAAAGAAACCUGUAAGUCACUUAUAGUCAAGUCCGCUAAUGAAAUUUGUUCAACUUAAUAACGUUAAUGACAUCGUUGGGUUUUGCUGCACACCAUAUAGUAUAACAGGCUGAUCAUCUGCACGAUUCUAAUUGACAUGCAUAGGCUAUCCCAUUUUGUCAGGUGACCGAACCAACAAAUAGCUCAGACAGCGAUGGAGAGACAGGGUCACAGGUGAAUGAUGAAUGUGACCUGAUAGGCUGUAUGUGAAGCUGUGUGACUGCAUAUAUGGAGUGUCUCAUUUAACAGGUGACAGAGGCAGCUCAGCCUUGUUGUAGCUCAGAAAGCGAAGCAAGGGCACAGGUGAAUCUGAAUGCUAUUUUGAUACAAUGGACUACUAGCAUCGUGAUAAAUGUUAAAGGCAAGCUAAUGCCCACUGGCGCUGACAUGAUUUGGGAUGCGUCAGAAUUCUAAACUUUAGCGCUGUUGUCAAGCAUGUGCAUAGCAGCACAAUUAGGAGUAGUGCACAGUUUUAACUAACAACAUUAUUUGCUCCAUUGAAAACAAUGGGUCAAAGGUGAGGUUCAUUAAGUAUAUAGUUAUGGUUUAAAUAUAGGGAUAAAAUGUAUGUAAUCUAUUUAAAAUGAGGGGUGGGACUAAUUGUAUAAUGUGGUCUAUCUCUAAGGAAACCGGUACAUCUGUAGUGAGCAACAGGGAGAGGAGCAGUGAGAGUGAGGAAGAACAGUGUAUAAGUGGAGAUUUUCAGGAGCUCAUUGAAAAUAAGCCAAACCAGCCUAACCCCAAAUACAUCCCAGUUCAAACACUGGUCUGCAGGGUCCUUCAUUUUCAGGAGAGGUGGUACAAGACUAUCCAUGGCUGUUUAGUUUUUGUUUGUUUACCUGGUUCUUUAUGUAUUGUUUAUAUUUCCACUGUUGUUGUCAAAUUUUGUUUUGAGCUGUUAUCCUGUUUUUUUUACUUUUUUGUACAUUCAAUUAAAAAAAAAAAAAUGACCAUUGUAUUGUAGGAGUGCAUCAUGACUCAAACACAUGCACAGGACACACAUGCUGAUUGGGAUUUUGAAAAAAAUUGAUGCAGUUUUCCAUGCCUGUCCGUUUAAUAAUCACACUAUUAAACACAUUUCAGGAAAUGGGAAAUAAUUUAAAACUCGUUAAAACACUGGUAUGGUUAAAUACACUCACUGGACUCACACAGACUAGGCACUAUUUGCCCUUCUUUUUCCUAGAAUCAUCCAAUUUGAUUUUGGUUGGUGAUUAAUUGAUUGGGUUGUUGGUGUUUAAUCGAUUCAGGUAAAAAUGUCCCUAAAACUCACUCUAUGCAUGCACAUAAUUUUAGAUAGCUUCACAUACAAAAAACACAGAUUUUUAGAUAGAUUAUCUAGAUUAGGAUCCACAUAAUCCAGGGGUCUUAAAUUCAAAUUCUGUGCUACAUCCAUAGACUCCCAUCGCUCUCUCUCUCUCUCUCUCUCUCUCUCUCUCUCUCUCUCACACGCGCGCACACACACACACACACACACACACACGCACGUUAUGGUCAAAAAAUAACUUGAAAUAAAGUUUUCAAUUUUGACCAAGAAAAAGCAGAGCAAAUUUCAUUUCUAUACGCAAAACAGCUGAUGAGAUAUAUGCAACUGUUUGUUAUAGCACCCCCUGUGGGCCAAUUGUUAUGAAAUUUGAGGGGUUGCAAGAGAGUGUCCUACUGACUAUGUAUUGUAAAGUUAUAAAACGAAGUUUCACUGUCCCAUAUUUUACAAAAGAUAUGCUUGUUUUUAUAUGCAAACAUGAACAGAUCCCCCCAGAGGCCGAGAUCAGUGAGACUAUAUCAAUUAUUAUAAUGCAGCUCCAUAAGCAGCAAGCUGUGAUGCACUGUGUGUUCUGACACCUUUCUAUCAUAGCCAGCAUUAACUUCAGCAAUUUGUGCAACAGUAGCUCUUCUGUGGGAAUGGACCAAACAGGCUAGCCUUCGCUCCCCAUGCACCCCAUCAAUGAGCCUUGGGUGCCCAUGACCCUGUUCUUCCUUGAACCACUUUUGGUAAGUACUACCCAAUGCAUACCAGGAACACCCCAUAAGACCUGCCGUUUUAGAGAUGCUCUGACCCAGUUGCCUAGCUGUCACAAUUUGGUCCUUGUCAAAGUCACGCAGAUCCUUACGCUUGCCCAUUUUUCUGGCUUCCAACACAUCAGCUUUGAGAGCUGAAUGUUCACUGGCUGCCUAAUAUAUCCCACCCCUUGACAGGUGCCACUGUAAAGAGAUAAUCAACUAAAUGUUUAUCCAAAUAAAAGGAAAUUUUGAUGGUUUUAAACAAAUGAAUGUUUUUUUUUUUUUGUUUUUGAUUUUUUUUUAAAGAUAAGAUACACUGCAAUAGUUUAUUAAUGACUGAUACAAUUGGUCCUUUGGUAAAUCUGUUUGUCAGUACCCCUAAGUCAGAAUAAUGAAAUCUCCUACCAUACUUUUCACUUUUUCCCCUUCUUUACCUGAUCCUGUCUGAAACUACUGAAGGGAGACCUCACCUCUGAUCUUUAGACUGAAUCAGGCACAUAAGGGGAAAAAGUGAAAAGUAUGGUAGGAAAUUUCAUUAUUCUGACUUAGGGGCACUAAACUAUUGGAGUUUAUCUUUGUUUAUCUUUAAAAAAAAAAUUCAUUCAUUUGUUUAAAGCCAUCAAAAUUCCUUUUUAUUUGGAUAAACAUUUAGUUGUGGUGCAGAUGUGUUUAAUAUUUUAGUGAAUCUGGAUUAUUUGUUUUUUCUUACAACUAUCAAAGAGGAUAACAAAGCACACCGUGCAUCCAUUUGCCCCUAUUUCUAUAGACAUUACGUGGAUGUAUUGGAUGUUUUAUCACAAACUUGUAAACUUGCUCAUCCCUGAUUUCUGCAGAAGUGCAAUGUACCAUGAGCAUUUGUUUUACGUAUUUGUGUGUUUCAUGAUGGCAGCAGGCCAAGGAAGGGUUAUAAUAUGCACAUCCUUGUAAUAUUAUAUCUUGCAGCAACAGAUGUGUUUUGAACACUAAAAAUGAUUUGGCUAUUUUAAUCCAUUAUAAACCUGACAGAUCUUGUGACUUUGAAGAGCAAUUACUUUAGAAUUCUACAGUAGAAUUAAUUGAUCUUUAUUGUGAGCAUAGUGUAGGUCACCGUGAACUGAUGUAAGUGGGUUUGAUCUUCCGCCAAUUCGAAAUGUCCCUUUUAUAAUAAAUUAAAAUAGCUUCCUGGCACAAUUAUAUUGAUAGAUCUAAUGCUUUGAUUUAUAAUAAUAAUAAUAAUAAUAAUAAUAAUAAUAAUAAUAAUAAUAAAGGUUAUUAAAAGGUAUUAUUUUAAUUUUAAUUUUAUUUGGCUGAAUGCUUUAUGGCGUCUCUUGAAACUAAUCGAAUUGCCCAUUUUUAAAUGUAAACUUUUAGCCUGUAUACUCAUAGAUAUUGUGAACUGUUGUUUGUUUUUGUUACUGAUUUAUUUAAAAUGGUCGUUUUGUAGAAAGUUAAGUUGCUAUGGUUUUGUACAAGCAGGCGGACGCUCGUUUUCCGAAUUCGGCGCUAUUACCGAUAAGUGUCCGCCCCUAAAGCCGCGCCCCUAAAAUUUUACGUGCGGCUAAAUUAACCGUGGUUUCAGGAAGAGCAGCUCACUUAACCGCAGUGAAUCUUGGAACGGCUUCAAAGCUUUUUCCACAGUAAGGGCAAAACAUUUCAAUUUGUGAAACAGAAGAAAAUAAGUUCAUUUCAUUCAGUCGUUUUUGCUGGGCUAAGAUAACAGCAUACUGAAAAGUGUAGUUCCGUUUCACUUUGAUAGUCAUACCCCAUGUCCAAUCAGAAACGAGCACGUGAUGUUCAAUAAGGACCUACCCUGUCCGUUUUGAGUUCAUGGUGUUGUGUUUCUGGUUUAGCUGUUGCAUUUUUGGUUUGGUAAAGUGUUUUGCACUUUGGGGCCACCGUAGUACUGACUAGGCAAGCUGGCAGAGAAAGUUCGUGAAAUUCUUCCAAACACAGAGGGCAGAGACUGCAGUGCUGUUUAAGUCCACUAGAUGUCCCCAGUGUAUUAAAUAUUAUUGAUUGUCUUGAUUAGUUCGGGCUAGAAGAAGCUUGUAAGAUGGCAUGUUGAUAUACUGUAUAUAUACUGGGAGUGUUUUACACAGCAGAGGUGCUUUUUUCAGCACUGGAUGUCCUCUUCGAUGUACGCUGCCAGCACUCCAGAGGGAUGAAGCAAUACACGAAGGAUAAGCAAAGUGCAGCUUCAAGUUGUUUGAAUGGCCAUACAUGUGGCUUCACUGUGUACCAGGGGAGAAGAUACUGUGUACACUGCUUGGCAAAGAAGAAGAACAGCAAGGCCAUUUUCAAAUGCAGGUCUUGUGAUGUGCCAAUUUGUGUGAUUGCAGACCAACUAUGCUUCACAAAGUGACAUGAUCUGAACCUAAAUCCAGUACACUGACUGGACUGAAAUUGCAGGCCAGUGUGUGUCAGUAUAUAACAGCAUGUUUGGUAUGAACUUGGCCAGGACUACGACAGUGAAUGCAUAGUCCCAACAGUGAAGCAUGGAGGUGGGAAUGUGAUGAUAUGGGGCUGCAUUCGUACAAAAGGUGUUGGGGAGAUGAAAUUUGUGGAUAUACCAAAAUGCUGGCUUACAAGAUGACUCCCAGUCUCCAGAAGCUUGGCAAAAGAGUAAUAUUCCAGCAAGAUAACAAUCCAAAGCACAGUGCCAAAAUCACAGUUUCUAAUGAAGAAAAAAGUGAAAACUAUGACCUCGCCAAGUAUGUUGCCUGACUUUAAUCCAAUAGAACACCUUUGGGUUUUUUUUUAGUGAGAAAGGUAGAGCAGCACAACCCUUCCAGCAAAGAGCAGCUGAAAAAAUUUUCUCUGAGGAAUGGCAGAACAUCUCUCCAGACAUUGUGAAACACAUGUAUCCUCCAUGCAGAGGAGGAUUGAGUCUGUCAUCAAAAAUAAAGGUGGACAUAUGAAGUAUUUAAAAAUAAAAAGUAUUUAAAAAGUAUUUAUUUGAAUCUCAGUAAUGAAAAAUACAGACUUUUGUUGCAUUGAAUUCCUACUGUGGGGCCUGUAUUUUUAAUAUAGCAAAUCUAAACUGUUAGUUUUUUUUAAUUUUACAUAAGAGCAAAUACCCUACUGUUCAACUUAGAAGUAAUGCAAUUACUGUAAGUUGAUAGAAUUUUGAAUCAUUUAACAUUUAAGGGAUAUUGCACAGGGAUGUACUCACUUCUGUUGUAUACUGUUGGUAUAUAGACAUUUUAUCAUUGUUGUUGAUCUGCUUGUUCUUUGUUGUUCAUUUGUAAAUAAAAAAAAAAUUAACUGUAUUAUGGAUCCUUCAUUCUAUGUGAUGUUUUCCUAGUUAAAAGCACGUACUGUAAAAUAAAGUAGCCCAUGCAGCCCAUACAAGACCCAGACAGUGCCCGCAUACAGCCUAUGCAGGACCCUCUAUGUACCCUUGUUGCUGUUCCAUAAUACAUAGGCCCUACAUGUGGCCUAUCUGGGCCCCAUCAUUAGCCCAUAUGGGGCCACCAUGGAAACUGCAGACAAAAGAUGUUGGGGCCCAGCUUGGCUGCCCCCCAUGGGCCCGAGUUUUAAGCCCAUUUGGGACCCAUGUGGGCCCUACAUGGACAUGCUGGCUGGGUAAUUACUUACACGGUCAAAUUUACAGAAAAGCUCUCAAAUUAAACCGACUCAAGAGCGCCCUCUACGGCUCUACUAAAUUACAUGCCAUUUCCCGGAAAGACUAUGGUUUCUUACUCAGACCCAGCUCUCUGGGAUCCUUUUGACGCUGUAAUGAAUUCAUUUAGGGUCACUGUCUGGUGCACCAUGCUGAUAUCAACGUUAGCAUAAAACUGUUCAUAGAUUUUACGUGAUUAAUGAGGAACGUGGCGCAUUUGAGAAUUUUCAGUAUUCUUUGAAUAUUUUAAAAUUUAAAUAGUGUUUGAAAGCUUAAGGCGUGUUGUAUUGUUUUGUUUAAUGUGGCUUUUCAUUCAUCUUAUUUUUUAUUUUAUUGUUUAUUUAUUUAGGAUUGUAAGGAAUUACAAUAAAUCUCUCAUCCGGCUUUAUUUUUGGACCAGAGUCCAAAAAUUGUGAGUGAUAAAUCCAUUCGUAUUUAACAAUCACACAAAAACGCAAGCCUCUUGUUGCUGUUGGAAUAGUGUGCAUAUCUGCGUAUGCCGAAACCACAACACUGUCCUUACAAUCUCACGUAGCAUGCAUAGCUCACAACGGCGUGAUUUCUCGGAAAUCACCCCACUUAACUUUGAGCGCGCCUGUAUUUCGGUCACACUGCGCGUGCGCCGAAAGCUGGGUUGUCUUGAGUUGGGAAAGCCCCAACGCCUAUAACUAUAAAGACGCACGCUCCUUAGACACAAACAUAGUUUACAACCGUUACGGAGAGCAGCGUGCACUAGACCAAGUGGAAUAACUUUCCUACCUAUCGUCUUUCCUUCAUUUCAUUAAUCAUUCCGGAUACUCAGAACCAUGCCUGUGUCCAGAAUGCGCAUGCGGCCCUGGUUAGAGGAUAUGAUUGACUCGAACUCAGUUGCUGGACUUGUCUGGGUAGAUAAGG